rnacentral:rRNA from 1 species
ACCUGACUGCUAUCGGAUUGAUACUAAGCCAUGCUAGUCUUUGUAGUAAUACAAGGCAUACGGCUCAGUAACGCGUAGUCAACCUACCCUAUGGACGGGGAUAAUCUCGGGAAACUGAGCAUAAUACCCGGUAGACCACUCUCCUGGAAUGGUUAGUGGUUAAAAUGAUUCGUCGCCAUAGGAUGGGACUGCGGCCUAUCAGCUUGUUGGUGAGGUAGUGGCCCACCAAGGCGAUUACAGGUACGGGCUCUGAGAGGAGAAGCCCGGAGAUGGGUACUGAGACAAGGACCCAGGCCCUAUGGGGCGCAGCAGGCGAGAAAACUUUGCAAUGUGCGAAAGCACGACAAGGUUAAUCCGAGUGAUUUCUGCUAAAGGAAUCUUUUGUUAGUUCUAAAAAUACUAGUGAAUAAGGGGUGGGCAAGUUCUGGUGUCAGCCGCCGCGGUAAAACCAGCACCUCAAGUGGUCAGGAGGAUUAUUGGGCCUAAAGCAUCCGUAGCCUGUUCUAUAAGAUUGCAGUUAAAUCUAUACGCUCAACGUAUAGGCUGCCGUAAAUACUGUAGAACUAGGGAGUGGGAGAGGUAGACGGUACUCGGUAGGAAGGGGUAAAAUCCUUUGAUCUAUCGAUGACCACCUGUGGCGAACGCGGUCUACCAGAACACGUUCGACGGUGAGGGAUGAAAGCUGGGGGAGCAAAUCGGAUUAGAUACCCGGGUAGUCCCAGCUGUAAACGAUGCAGACUCGAUGAUGCAUUGGCAUAUAGCCAGUGCAGUGUCGCAUGCAAGCAGUUACGUCUGCCGCCUGGGAAGUACGUACGCAAGUAUGAAACUUAAAGGCAUUGGCUGGGGAGCACCACAAGGGGUGAAGCCUGCGGUUC